GGCUUAGAUCAGAAAUGAUCAGCC
rnacentral:misc_RNA from 1 species